UGAGGAAUAUUGGGUCAAUGGGCGCGAGCCUGAACCAGCCAAGUAGCGUGCAGGAUGACGGCCCUAUGGGUUGUAAACUGCUUUUAUGCGGGGAUAAAGUUGGGGACGUGUCCCUUUUUGCAGGUACCGCAUGAAUAAGGACCGGCUAAUUCCGUGCCAGCAGCCGCGGUAAUACGGAAGGUCCGGGCGUUAUCCGGAUUUAUUGGGUUUAAAGGGAGCGUAGGCCGGCUUUUAAGCGUGUUGUGAAAUGCCGCGGCUCAACCGUGGCACUGCAGCGCGAACUGGAGGCCUUGAGUGCGCGGGAGGUAGGCGGAAUUCGUGGUGUAGCGGUGAAAUGCGUAGAUAUUAGGAGGAACACCAGUGGCGAAGGCGGCUUUCUGGACUGUAACUGACGCUGAGGCUCGAAAGCCAGGGGAGCGGACGGGAUUAGAUACCCUGGUAGU
rnacentral:rRNA from 1 species